rnacentral:rRNA from 1 species
AUUGAACGCUGGCGGCAUGCUUUACACAUGCAAGUCGAACGGUAACAGGGAGCUUGCUCCGCUGACGAGUGGCGAACGGGUGAGUAAUGCGUCGGAACGUGCCGAGUAGUGGGGGAUAACGCAUCGAAAGGUGUGCUAAUACCGCAUACGUACUGAGGUAGAAAGUGGGGGACCUUCGGGCCUCACGCUAUUCGAGCGGCCGACGUCUGAUUAGCUAGUUGGUGAGGUAAAGGCUCACCAAGGCGACGAUCAGUAGCGGGUCUGAGAGGAUGAACCGCCACACUGGGACUGAGACACGGGCCAGACUCCUACGGGAGGCAGCAGUGGGGAAUUUUGGACAAUGGGCGCAAGCCUGACCCGGCCAUGCCGCGUGUCUGAAGAAGGCCUUCGGGUUGUAAAGGGCUUUUGUCCGGGAGCAAAUGCCUGGUGUUAAUAGCACUGGGAGCUGAGAGUACCGGAAGAAUAAGCACCGGCUAACUACGUGCCAGCCGCCGCGGUAAUAC